GCAAUCGUAGUGUAGCGGUUAUCAUCCCAGCCUUCCAUUCGGAUGCAAGCUGGGGACUCGGGUUCGACUCCCGGCGAUUGCA
rnacentral:tRNA from 1 species